rnacentral:rRNA from 1 species
GAGUUUGAUCAUGGCUCAGAACGUACGCUGGCGGCACGCCUAACACAUGCAAGUCGAACGAAGUAGCAAUACUUAGUGGCAGACGGGUGAGUAACAUGUAGGUAUCUGCCCUUUGGCCUGGAAUAACACGAGGAAACUUGUGCUAAUACCGGAUAAGUCUUUACGGAGAAAGCUUUAUGCACCAUUGGAUGAGCCUGCACUUGAUUAGUUUGUUGGUGGGGUAAUGGCCUACCAAGACUGUGAUCAAUAGCUGAUUUGAGAGGAUGAUCAGCCACAUUGGGACUGAGACACGGCCCAAACUCCUACGGGAGGCAGCAGUGGGGAAUCUUGCACAAUGGAGGAAACUCUGAUGCAGCGAUGCCGCGUGAGUGAAGAAGGCCCUUGGGUUGUAAAGCUCUUUCGUCGGGGAAGAAAAUGACUGUACCCGAAUAAGAAGGUCCGGCUAACUUCGUGCCAGCAGCCGCGGUAAUACGAAGGGACCUAGCGUAGUUCGGAAUUACUGGGCUUAAAGAGUUCGUAGGUGGUUGAAAAAGUUAGUGGUGAAAUCCCAGAGCUUAACUCUGGAACUGCCAUUAAAACUUUUCAGCUAGAGUAUGAUAGAGGAAAGCAGAAUUUCUAGUGUAGAGGUGAAAUUCGUAGAUAUUAGAAAGAAUACCAAUUGCGAAGGCAGCUUUCUGGAUCAUUACUGACACUGAGGAACGAAAGCAUGGGUAGCGAAGAGGAUUAGAUACCCUCGUAGUCCAUGCCGUAAACGAUGUGUGUUAGACGUUGGAAAUUUAUUUUCAGUGUCGCAGGGAAACCGAUAAACACACCGCCUGGGGAGUACGACCGCAAGGUUAAAACUCAAAUGAAUUGACGGGGACCCGCACAAGUAGUGGAGCAUGUGGUUUAAUUCGAAGAUACGCGCAGAACCUUACCAACACUUGACAUGUUCGUCGCGACUCUAAGAGAUUAGAGUUUUCGGUUCGGCCGGACGAAACACAGGUGCUGCAUGGCUGUCGUCAGCUCGUGUCGUGAGAUGUUGGGUUAAGUCCCGCAACGAGCGCAACCCUCACUUUUAGUUGCCAUCAUUAAGUUGGGCACUCUGAAAGAACUGCCAGUGAUAAGCUGGAGGAAGGUGGGGAUGACGUCAAGUCCUCAUGGCCCUUACGUGUUGGGCUACACACGUGCUACAAUGGCAUCUACAACAGGAAGCAAAACGGCAACGUUAAGCAAAUCCCGAAAAGAUGCCUCAGUUCGGAUUGCACUCUGCAACUCGAGUGCAUGAAGCUGGAAUUACUAGUAAUCGUGGAUCAGCGUGCCACGGUGAAUGCGUUCCCGGGUCUUGUACACACCGCCCGUCACACCAUGGGAGUUGGUUCUACCUUAAGGCAAGGUUUUAAACCCUUGACCACGGUAUAGUCAGCGACUGGGGUGAAGUCGUAACAAGGUAACC